ACGAACGCUGGCGGCAUGCCUAACACAUGCAAGUCGAACGAGACCUUCGGGUCUAGUGGCGCACGGGUGCGUAACGCGUGGGAACCUGCCCUUAGGUUCGGAAUAACUCCCCGAAAGGGGUGCUAAUACCGGAUAAUGUCUUCGGACCAAAGAUUUAUCGCCUUUGGAUGGGCCCGCGUUGGAUUAGCUAGUUGGUAGGGUAAAAGCCUACCAAGGCGACGAUCCAUAGCUGGUCUGAGAGGAUGAUCAGCCACACUGGGACUGAGACACGGCCCAGACUCCUACGGGAGGCAGCAGUGGGGAAUAUUGGACAAUGGGCGAAAGCCUGAUCCGGCAAUGCCGCGUGAGUGAUGAAGGCCUUAGGGUUGUAAAGCUCUUUUACCCGGGAUGAUAAUGACAGUACCGGGAGAAUAAGCUCCGGCUAACUCCGUG
rnacentral:rRNA from 1 species